rnacentral:misc_RNA from 1 species
UUUCCGUAGGUGAACCUGCGGAAGGAUCAUUAAAAGUUUCAAGAAUCUCAUGUUCUUAAACACCUUCAGUGCACUUGUAAUCGUUGCUUCCGUGGGGAGCGGGCUAUGCGCCUGCGUUCGCCUUUCAUGGUGAACCCGCGGGAGAUAUCUAUCAAACUCUGCUUUUAGGUGAUAUCAGUCUGAAAUAUGUUCAUUUGAAAACGUUAAAACUUUCAACAACGGAUCUCUUGGUUCUC